rnacentral:rRNA from 1 species
UGCCAGCCGCCGCGGUAAUACGGAGGGGGCUAGCGUUGCUCGGAAUUACUGGGCGUAAAGCGCGCGUAGGCGGCGAAUCCAGUCAGGCGUGAAAGCCCAGGGCUUAACCCUGGAACUGCGCUUGAUACUGAUUUGCUAGAAUUCGAGAGAGGGUAGUGGAAUUUCCAGUGUAGAGGUGAAAUUCGUAGAUAUUACACAGAAUACCAAUUGCGAAGGCAGAUCACUAACACUAUAUUGACGCUGAGGGACGAAAGCGUGGGGAGCGAACAGGAUUAGAUA